GCAUUGGUGGUAUAGUGGAACAUAGCUGCCUUCUAAACAGCUGGCCCGGGUUUGAUUUCCAGCCUAUGCA
rnacentral:tRNA from 1 species